rnacentral:lncRNA from 1 species
GAAGCAAAUUCGGUCAAACCUACAUCUCUGAGAGCUUUAGUGCACUCUGCUAUUCUGUCUUCCACUUUGCCUUAUACUAAAAAUAGGAUUGUUAGAACUACUCUCAGAAUUUGGGUGCAGUUUAAACGGUACUUUGGGUUACAAACUUCUUCCACCUAUGCCCCGCUGGCUGCAAAUCACCAGUUCCCUCCAUCUCUGGUUGAUGAUCUGUUCUCUAUGUGGUCAAAAGCUGGCAUUCACUCUUUUAAAGACCUAUACAUAGACAAUGUCUUUGCCUCUUUCUCACAACUGCUUCAGAAAUAUUCUCUUCCUCAGCAUCAUUUCUUUAGAUACUUGCAGGUGCGUAGCUUUGCUCAUCAUACCUUUCCCACAUUUCCCAAUCUACCCCCAGACUCUGUUUUAGAUGACCUUCUUAAACCAACUCCAUCUCUGAAAGGUUCGGUUUCUCAUACUUACAAUCAGAUUUUUAAUAUAUGUACUAAUUCACUAACCCCUCUGAAGACACUCUGGGAAGAGGAUUUGGGACAGGAAAUUCCUGAUGAGAUUUGGGGGGAGGUUUUGCUGCGAGUUCACGGAUCAACUAUUUGUGCUAGACUUGGCCUCAUACAGUUUAAAAUCUUACACCGUUCAUAUUACACUAAGCUGCGGUUAUCACAAAUCUAUGAGGGCGUCAGUCCUUUGUGUGACCGAUGUCAGCAGUCCCCUGCCAAUAUUAUUCAUAUGUUCUGGCUUUGCCCUUCUUUACACCAGUACUGGACUGAAAUAUUUGACAUGUUGUCAGAAUUUGUGGGGAAAAGAAUAGAGCCCAACCCACUUGGGGCAUUGUUUGGGGUUUUCUCCUCACCUUCUUCAUUAUCUGUUCAUCAAAGGGACAUGCUGGCCUUCUCUACCUUACUGGCAAGAAGACUCAUUACAACAAACUGGAAAUCCUCGAAACCUCCCAGCCAAAUUCACUGGAUACGAGAUAUUCUUUAUUUUGUUAAACUGGAAAGGAUAAGACUCUCACUUAGGGGUUCCCUUAAGACAUUUAAAAAGAUAUGGGGUCCUUUCCUUGAUCUGGUUAAGAAUAAGAAUUUCC